AGCUGACUCACUUAUGAACCUUAUCUGUUGGUGCCUGUGCCUUCUGCCCUCAGGUUGGGCUCAGCCAUGAGGAACCCCUGUAGGAGACCUCAAGAAUCCAAAACCAGAAGAGAAAGAUGAAGAAGGACAUCAGGAUGGAUACAGAUUGUGUGGAGUGAUUUUCAUGGGGAAAGUCAAGAAAAUUUGUGGAAAUAAAUUUGAGUUUUCC
rnacentral:lncRNA from 1 species